CAAGCCUAGGUUCACCCAGGGCUCUCAGGGCACUCCCAAACUGCAGGGGGCAAUCAUGCAACAAAAGUUGGUGGAACCAACUUUUGGGGAAGUAGCUUUUGGGACUAUAUUUGCCUGCGCACCCACAGAGAGAGCAUGGCAUUGAAAUGUUUGUAGAGAGUUCGGUUGGUUCUCUCAUUUAUUCCUGGAAAAGGAUACUAUGAUUACAGCUCCUGAUCACUCAAAGACGCAACUGGUUAUCAACCUAUACCUACUGCCCCACACUGAUCUAUCAAGUCACAUUCAAGAAACUAUACCAUAUUAUUCCAUCACUGGUCUAUCAAACCAUCUCAAAGAAAAUAAAGAAUCAAGAAGUGAAAAGA